AUGGAGGGGCUCAUCAAGGGUUUGGCCAAAGCGGCGAUCGACGCCUUGGACGGCGGCGAUGACCAGCGGGAGCGGGGCGAAGACCGCGACGAGGCGCCGAGGAGGCACCGCCCCGCGCGGGACGCCGAGGCGGAGGAGGAUGAGGAGGGCUGCGAGCAGCGGGACCGCUCGACGUGGGCCGAGGUGGUCUCCGAGAAGAAGGGCAGCGAGCCGGAGGAGAAGCGCCGGGGUCCUCGGCCCUCCAGGCGGGAGGAGAGGAGGGAGGACGAGGGCUGGGAGAGGACGGAGGGCCGGAAGCAGCAGCAGCAUCAUCCAUCUGCGCAUGGUGGAUCUCACAGCCAGUACCAGGGAGAGGGCAGGAUUAGUGAUGGUGGUAGCAGGCUACCGCACCAGCAGGCGCCAGCACACAGGAGGCAACAGCAGGAGGGAGAAGAAACAAAUGAUGAAGGUUGGGAAACUGUAGGGGAGAAAAAGCACCAUGGAAGACCACAACAGUGUGAAGCAUGGAACGCAUACAAAAGGCCACCAUCUGAACAAGAGUACUCUGAAGAUUUUGGUCAGAUCCACCAUGGCUUAAAUGUAGAGCCUACCAGGGAGGAGCUCAAUAGCUUGACGGAAGCAUGUAGCCGGUUGUGGGAGCUUGAUAUGAACCGUCUUGUUCCUGGUAAGGACUACAGAAUUGAAUGUGGAGAGGGAAAGAAGGUUUAUCAGAAGGAUGAUAUGUCAUCUGAAAACCUAUUCAGCUGGCUAGGCGAUGAUGUGCUCACCAAGCCCACCUACUCUCGCUUCUGCGCGCUUCUUGACAAUUACAACCCACACCAAGGGUACAAAGAAGUUGUUACUCAGCAGGACAAGCACGAAGAAGCAGCAUUUAUUGAAGAGAUUGCCCGGACAGCGUCGAUUAAGUACUUGCACCGGUAUUUAGUGCUGAAGGGAGUCGUAUCCCAAGACUAUGAUGAUUUCAAGGCAAUGCUGACAUCCCUUUGGUUUAAUUUGUAUGGAAGAUGUGGCAACUCUAGCUGCUCUUCUGCAUUUGAGCAUGUGUUUGUUGGUGAGAUAAAGGAACAGAGACAAGGAGAGACCGAGGUCUCAGGAUUCCAUAACUGGAUUCAGUUUUAUCUGGAAGAAGCCAAGGGAAAUGUGGACUACCAAGGUUACAUAUUCCCAAGACGGCGUGGGGAAUCACCUGAUUCGGAGACACAGUUACUGACCGUUCAGUUUGAGUGGCAUGGUGUGCUGAAAUCAGUAUCAAGCUCUUUGAUUGGUGUUAGCCCCGAGUUCGAGCUGGCACUCUACACACUGUGCUUCUUUAUGGGAGGGGAGGAUAACCGCGUCGAUAUCGGCCCGUACACCGUGAACGUCAAGUGCUAUCGUAUGGGUAACAACAAGAUUGGAUCAGUCUUUCCCAUUGCUGAGAACUGA
rnacentral:rRNA from 1 species